UGUGAAGAAGGAAGACUGAGAUGCCUUCUGGAUGUUGAGGAAGGAGCGGGGAUGGCGCUGUUUUUUCCCCUUCGUGCAAGAUGACGGAAGAAGUGAUCGUCAUCGCCAAGUUCGACUACAUGGCGCAGCAGGACCAGGAGCUGGACAUCAAGAAGAACGAGCGCCUCUGGCUCCUCGACGACUCCAAGUCCUGGUGGAGGGUCCGAAACGCCACCAACAAAACCGGGUUUGUGCCGUCCAACUACGUGGAGAGGAAAAACAGCGCCAGGAAAGCCUCCAUUGUCAAGAACCUCAAAGACACGCUAGGAAUUGGGAAGGUGAAGAGCAGGAAGGGAGGAAUGAGGGACACGGCCUCCAACGCCGACGCCGACAUGUACGCCGACAACGGCGAGCGCCUCUACGACCUCAACCUGCCCGCCCUGGUCAAGUUCAGCUACACGGCGGAGCGCGAAGACGAGCUGUCGCUGGUGAAGGGCACGCGGGUGGUGGUGAUGGAGAAGUGCAGCGACGGCUGGUGGCGCGGCAGCUACAACGGACGCUCCGGCUGGUUCCCCUCCAACUACGUGACGGAGGACAUGGACGGGACGGCGGGGGGCGGCGGCCCGUGCGACCCGUCCGGCUCGCUCACGGAGAAGCUGGCGGCGGUGGUCAACAGCACGGCCAACGGCAACCGCGUGCUGCACACGGUGCAGGCGCUCUACCCCUUCAGCUCGGACAACGACGAGGAGCUGAACUUCGAGAAGGGCGAGGUGAUGGAGGUGGUGGAGAAGCCCGAGAACGACCCCGAGUGGUGGAAGUGUCGCAAGGCGGACGGCCAGCUGGGCCUGGUCCCCAAGAACUACGUGACGGUGCUGGACAAGAGCGCGGCGGGGCCGCCCACGCCCGACUGCGACUACAUCUCGCCGUCGGGAAGCGGCCGCUUCGCAGGGAAGGAGUGGUACUACGGCAAGGUGACGCGCCACCAGGCCGAGGUGGCGCUCAACCAGCGCGGCGUGGAGGGAGACUUCCUCAUUCGGGACAGCGAGUCGUCGCCCAACGACUUCUCCAUCUCGCUGAAGGCGCAGAGCAAGAACAAGCACUUCAAGGUGCAGCUGAAGGAGAACCUUUACUGUAUCGGCCAGCGCAAGUUCACCUCCAUGGAGGAGCUGGUGGAACACUACAAGAAGGCGCCCAUCUUCACCAGCGAGCAGGGCGACAAACUCUACCUGAUCAAGGCCCUCGCCGCCUCCUGAUCGCUAAGAGGGCGGAGCCUGAAGACUUUUACACCAGGACUUCCUUCUGUCCCACGAACAUUCCACAAAGUCCUGGGAGUGGACUAUGGACCUGUUGGCCAUUUAUUUAUGAUGUGAUCCAGAUGUUCUUCAUCUAGUCCCACCUCCGUAGCUCCUUACAAGUCCACAAAUAUAUAAUCUUUUUUUUUUUUAAUGUGACUUUUUUUUUUCCAACAGUAUCUGAGAUGGAGACCCUCCUUUUUUUUUUUUUUUUUUUUCCUGCAGCUUUUCCCCCUGCGUGUGUGACCUGUGGACCAGCUACUUGGUCACAUCUGCUCGGCAAGCGACCAAAACAUAUUUAUUGAUUGUGUUCCUCGUGGACCUGGACUGUCACCAUCCCGCCCGGCUGCUUGUCUCAACGUGUCGGGACUCGCCAACAAAGUGGCCACAAGAAUGUUACAAAGACCAGGCCAUGGACCAGACUCACUCUGGGGGUCAUGUGAAGAAGAAGACCUGCUUUGGUGCAUGCAGCAGCACCGUGAGUGAGGAAAGUAGCCUCAUUGCGUCAUAAGUUGUGUGCCUCACUCUGUUAGCGACUUUUAUGGCCAUUUUCAGCCUUAAAACAUUCAAGAAGUUCUGCGCCAUUUUAUAAGCCGCAGCGUUCAAAGCGUAGGAAAGAAGUAGCUGUUUAUAGUCCGGGAUUGACGCUAAUUACGGGAUUCUUGCCUUUUCCAGGUGUUGUGCAAGCAGCUCGCCUUCAAACUGGACUCACACAGAUUAGACGUGUGGAGGACGCCACGUUUUGAAGGUUUUCAUGACAGGACGUGGGCGGAGCUUGGCUGCCGAGAUUUUGUUCUCCGUGGAGCGCCAAAAAGUCACAACUUCACCGCAGAUAAGGUCGAAAAUUAUGAGAGAAAAGGUCAUUAUUGAGAGAACAAGUCACAAUUAUGAGAGAACAAGUCACAAUUAUGAGAGAAAAAAGUCACAAUUAUGACAUUUAUCUCCUAAUUGUGACAUUUUCUCUCAUAGUUGAAGAAAAAAAAGGUCAUAAUUAUGAGUGAAAAGGUCACAAUUAUGAGAGAACAAGUCACAAUUAUGACAUCUCAUAAUUGUGACUUUUUCUCAUAAUUGAAGAGAAAAGGUCAUAAUAUGACAGAAAAGGUCACAGGUAUGACAGGAAAGGUCACAAUUAUGAAAGAAAAAGUCACAAUUCUGAGAGAAAAGGUCACAAUUCUGAGAGAAAAGGUCAUAAUUAUGAGAGAAAAUGUCACAAUUCUGAGAGAAAAGGUCAAUUAUGACAGAAAAAGUCACAAUUAAUACAGAAAAGGUCACAAUUAUGAGAGAGAAAGUCUCAAUUAUGAGAGGAAAGGUCAAUUAUGAGAGAAAAGGUCAUAAUUAUGAGAGAAAAGUUCAUAAUUAUGAGAGAAAAUGUCCGAAUUAUGAGAGAGCAAGUCACAAUUAUGAGAGAAAAAGUCACAAUUAUGACAUUUAUCUCCUAAUUGUGACAUUUUCUCUCAUAAUUGAAGAAACAAAGGUCAUAAUUAUGAGAGAAAAGGUCACAAUUAUGAGAGGAAAGGUCACAAUUAUGAGAGGAAAGGUCACAAUUAUGAGAGAAAAAGUCACAAUUAUGACAUGUAUCUCAUAUCUGUGACUUUUUCUCUCAUAAUUGAAGAGAAAAGGUCAUGAUAUGAGAGAAAAGGUCACAGGUAUGAGAGGAAAGGUCACAAUUAUGAGAGAACAAGUCACAAUUAUGAGAGAAAAAGUCACAAUUAUGACAUUUAUCUCCUAAUUGUGACAUUUUCUCUCAUAAUUGAAGAAACAAAGGUCAUAAUUAUGAGAAAAAAGGUCACAAUUAUGAGAGGAAAGGUCACAAUUAUGAGAGAAAAAGUCACAAUUAUGACAUGUAUCUCAUAUCUGUGACUUUUUCUCUCAUAGUUGAAGGGAAAAGGUCAUGAUAUGAGAGAAAAGGUCACAGGUAUGAGAGGAAAGGUCACAAUUAUGAGAGGAAAAGUCAUAAUUAUGAGAGAAAAAGUCACAACUAUGAGAGAAAAUGUCACUAUUAUGAGAGAAAAGGUCAUAAUUCUGAGAGAAAAGGUCAAUUAUGACAGAAAAAGUCACAAUUAGGACAGAAAAGGUCACAAUUAGGAGAGAGAAAGUUACAAUUAUGAGAGAAAAUGUCAAUAAUGAGAGAAAGGUCACAAUUAUGAGAGAAAAAUUCUCUAUGAGAGAGAAAGUCACAAUUAUGAGAAAAGGUCACAAUUGUUAGAGAAAGGUCACAAUUAUGAGAGAAAAGGUCAUAAUUCUGAGAGAAAAGGUCACAAUUAUGAGAGAAAAAGUCACAAUUAUGAGAGAACAAGUCACAAUUAUGACAUUUAUCUCCUAAUUGUGACAUUUUCUUUCAUAAUUGAAGAAAAAAAAGGUCAUAAUUAUGAGAGAAAAGGUCACAAUUAUGUGAGGAAAGGUCACAAUUAUGAGAGAAAAAGUCACAAUUAUGAGAGAACAAGUCACAAUUCUGAAAGAAAAGGUCAUAAUUCUGAGAGAAAAGGUCAUAAUUAUGAGAGAAAAAGUCACAAUUCUGAGAGAAAAGGUCAAUUAUGACAGAAAAAGUCACAAUUAAGACAGAAAAGGUCACAAUUAUGAGAGAAAAGGUCACAAUUAUGAGAGAAAAGGUCGCAAUUAUGAGAGAAAAGGUCAUUACUGAAAGAAAAGGUCAUAAUUAUGAGAGAAAAUGUCAUAAUUAUGAAAGAAAAUGUCAUUAUUGAGAGAAAAAGUCACAAUUAUGAGAGAACAAGUCACAAUUAUGACAUUUGUCUCAUAAUUGUGACUUGUUCUCUCAUAAUUGAAGGGAAAAGGUCAUAAUAUGAGAGAAAAGGUCACAGGUAUGACAGGAAAGGUCACAAUUAUGAGAGAAAAAGUCACUAUGAGUGAAAAGGUCACAAUUAUGAGAGAAAAGGUCAUAAUUCUGAGAGAAAAGGUCAAUUAUGACAGAAAAUGUCACAAUUAAGACAGAAAAGGUCACAAAUAGGUGAGAGAAAGUCACAAUUAUGAGAGAAAAGGUCACAAUUAUGAGAAAAACGGUCGCAAUUAUGAGAGAAAAAGUCUCAAAUAUGAGAGAGAAAGUCACAAUUAUGAGAGAAAAGGUCUCAAUUAAAAGAGAAAAUGUCAUAAUUAUGAGAGAAAAGGUCAUAAUUGUGAGAGAAAAAGUCACAAUUCUAAAAGAGAAAAGGUCACAAUUAUGAGAAAAAGUCACAAUUAUUACAUUUAUCUCAUAAUUGUGACUUAUACUCAUAAUUGAAGAGAAAAGGUCACAAUUAUGAGAGAAAAGGUCAAUAUUAUGAGAGAGAAAGUCCCAAUUAUGAGAAAAGGUCACAAGUAAGAGAGAAAAGGUCACAAUUAUGAGAGAAAUAUGUCACAAUUCUGAGAUAAAAGGUCAUAAUUAAGAGAGAAAACGUCACAAUUAUGAGAAAAUGUCACAAUUAAGAGAGAAAAGGUCACAAUUCUGAGAUAAAAGACCAUAAUUAUGAGAGAAAAAGUUAUCAUUCUGAGGUAAAAAAGUCCGAUUGAGGGAUAAAAGGUCAAAGUAAUGACACUGAUGGUGUGUCAGUGAUGUUGCUGAUCGGUGUGUGACGUCACCUGAUGGUGUGUCAGUGAUCUUGCUGAUCGGUGUGUGACCUCACCUGAUGGUGUGUCAGGGAUCUUGCUGAUCGGUGUGUGACCUCACCUGAUGGUGUGUCAGUGAUGUUGCUGAUCGGUGUGUGAUGUCACCUGAUGGUGUGUCAGUGAUGUUGCUGAUCGGUGUGUGACGUCACCUGAUGGUGUGUCAGUGAUGUUGCUGAUCGGUGUGUGACGUCACCUGAUGGUGUGUCAGUGAUGUUGCUGAUCGGUGUGUGACGUCACCUGAUGGUGUGUCAGUGAUGUUGCUGAUCGGUGUGUGACGUCACCUGAUCUGUGUGUCAGUGAUGUUGCUGAUCGGUGUGUGAUGUCACCUGAUCGGCGUGUCAGUGAUGUUGCUGAUCGGUGUGUGACCUCACCUGAUGGUGUGUCAGUGAUGUUGCUGAUCGGUGUGUGACGUCACCUGAUGGUGUGUCAGUGAUCUUGCUGAUCGGUGUGUGACCUCACAUGAUGGUGUGUCAGUGAUGUUGCUGAUCGGUGUGUGACGUCACCUGAUGGUGUGUCAGUGAUGUUGCUGAUCGGUGUGUGACAUCACCUGAUGGUGUGUCAGUGAUGUUGCUGAUCGGUGGGUGACGUCACCUGAUGGUGUGUCAGUGAUGUUGCUGAUCGGUGGGUGACGUCACCUGAUGGUGUGUCAGUGAUGUUGCUGAUCGGUGUGUGACGUCACCUGAUGGUGUGUCAGUGAUGUUGCUGAUCGGUGGGUGACGUCACCUGAUGGUGUGUCAGUGAUGUUGCUGAUCGGUGUGUGACGUCACCUGAUGGUGUGUCAGUGAUGUUGCUGAUCGGUGUGUGACGUCACCUGAUGGUGUGUCAGUGAUGUUGCUGAUCGGUGUGUGACGUCACCUGAUCUGUGUGUCAGUGAUGUUGCUGAUCGGUGUGUGACCUCACCUGAUGGUAAGAAAUAUGAAAGUAAGAAAUAUGAGAUAUUAAGACAUGAGAUAAAAAGUCAUAAUUACGAGAUAGAAAGUAGAAGUGUUGAUUAUGUGAUUAAACAUUUGUCACAUUUUAAUUUUUUCAUCUCAUAUUUAUGACUAAUUUGACUAAUCUCAUUUCAACUUUCUUAACUUGUAAGUUUGACUCUCAAAAUUAUGAUUUAUUUUUCUCAUGAUUUCAACUUUUUAUCUUAUAAUGUUGACUUUUUAUCUAAUAAUUUUGACUUAUCUCAUAAUUCUGACUUCUUAUCUCAUAAUUUCGACUUUUUAUCUCAUAAUGUCGACUUUUCAUCUCAUAAUUUCGACUUUUUAUCUCAUAAUGUCGACUUUUCAUCUCAUAAUUUCGACUUUUUAUCUCAUAAUGUUGACUUUUUAUCAUAUAAUUUCAACUUUUUAUCUCAUAGUGUUGACUUAUCUCAUAAUUUUGACUUUAUCUCACAAUGUUGACUUUUUUUCCUCAUAAUUUCGACUUUCUCUCAUAAUUUCGACUUUUUCUUUCAUAAUGUUGACUUUUUCUCCCAUAAUUUCAACUUUUUAUCUCAAUGUUGACUUUUUUCCUCAAAAUCUGCACUUUUUCUCUCAUAAUUUCAACUUUUUAUUUCACAUUGUUGACUCUAUCUCAUAAUUUCAACUUGUCUUAUAAUGUUGACUUAUCUCAUAAUUCUGACUUUUUAUCUCAUAAUUUCGACUUUUUAUCUCAUAAUGUUGACUUUUUGUCUUAUAAAUUUGACUUUUUAUCUCAUAACGUUGACUUUUUAUCAUAUAAUUUCGACUUUAUCUUACAAUGUUGACUUUUUUCCUCAUAAUUUCGACUUUUUCUCAUAAUUUCCACUUUGUCUUUCAUAAUGUUGACUUUUUCUCUCAUAAUUUCAACUUUUUAUCUCAAUGUUGACUUUUUUCCUCAAAAUCUGCACCUUUUUCCUCAUAAUUUCGACUUUCUCUCAUAAUUUCGACUUUUUCUUUCAUAAUGUUGAUUUUUUUUCUCUCAUAAUGUCAACUUUUUAUCUCAAUGUUGACUUUUUUCCUCAAAAUCUGCACUUUUUUUCUCAUAAUUUCAACUUUUUAUCUCACAUUGUUGACUCUUUAUCUCAUAAUUUCAACUUGUCUUAUAAUGUUGACUUAUCUCAUAAUUUUGUCUUUUUAUCUCAUAAUUUCAACAUCUUUAUCUUAUAAUGUUGACUUAUCUCAUAAUGUUGACUUUUUCUCUCAUAAUGUUGAGUUUUUAUCUAAUAAUUUUGACUCUAUAUCUCAUAAUGUUGACUUUUUCUCAUUAUUUCGACUUAUCUCAAAAUGUUGAUUUUGUCUCAUAAUUUCGAUUUAUCUCAUAAUGUUGACUUUUUGUCUCAUUAUUUCGACUUAUCUCAAUGUUGACUUUAUCUCAUAAUUUCGACUUUUUAUCUGAUGUCGACUUUCUACUAAUGUUGACUUUGUGUCCCGCCAUGAUGACUUGCCAAUGGAAAAUAAUAUUUUAGUGGUUAAAACCAGGCUUCCAAAGUCGCGUCAACCAAUUUUGGUUUUAUUUUCUUUAGCAGCCACCCUUCUUGCCUGGCAUUUGUUGAACUCUUUGAGCGUUUCCUGGCUGAUGACCGAAUCUUGUCUUGUUUUUGUGGCGGCCGUGCAUCACAUGGUGUGUAGUUUCAAGUGUCCUUACAUAGCCAACAGUUAUAACGUCAAUUGUAAAGAUGACAUGUGAGCAGGAGUGAUGUCUGUAUUUCAUGACCUGGACACACUUCUUAUUCAAAUACAACACGUGCAAACGUGUCCCUGCAUUACAUUUCAAAAUAAGAGCGCAUCUUUUGUGUCUUUGCACCAUGAGCAGCGACAGACUUUGGACUAUUGAAUAUUCUCCUGCUCAUAUUCCACAUGAACUUUGGUGCUGCUUUCUAGUUCUUUCUUUCCCCCCGUCAAGAAAUCCUGUCCAUGCUGUGGGAAGACGAAAAGCUGUUUUUUCAAGGCGGGGACAUCCAUGUCUAAUAUAGAAGAGUUUAUUAGUGUUUCCAAGACGUAAUAAACAACAUCAAACGGU